rnacentral:rRNA from 1 species
GAUGAACGCUGGCGGCGUGCCUAAUACAUGCAAGUCGAGCGAACGGACGAGAAGCUUGCUUCUCUGAUGUUAGCGGCGGACGGGUGAGUAACACGUGGAUAACCUACCUAUAAUACUGGGAUAACUUCGGGAAACCGUAGCUAAUACCGGAUAAUAUUUUGAACCGCAUGGUUCAAAAGUGAAAGACGGUCUUUCUGUCACUUCUAGAUGGAUCCGCGCUGCAUUAGCUAGUUGGUAAGGUAACGGCUUACCAAGGCAACGAUGCAUAGCCGACCUGAGAGGGGGAUCGGCCACACGGGAACUGAGACACGGUACAGACUCCUACGGGAGGCAGCAGUAGGGAAUAUUCCGCAAUGGGCGAAAGCCUGACGGAGCAACGCCGCGUGAGUGAUGAAGGUCUUCGGAUCGUAAAACUCUGUUAUUAGGGAAGAACAUAUGUGUAAGUAACUGUGCACAUCUUGACGGUACCUAAUCAGAAAGCCACGGCUAACUACGUG